rfam:Methanogenic archaeon ISO4-H5 chromosome, complete genome.
GGGGGUUUAGGCUAACCUGGUAGACUAGCGGGCUCCAGUUAUGAGCGUGAUUUGAAUGAGUUUGCUGAGUUAUGAUGAAUAACUGGAGCGAUGACUCAUUAAUUUCAUGGGAGGUAGCUCCUCCCGUGGUGGAAACCCGCCUAUGGGGGUUCAAAUCCCUCAGCCCCCA